rnacentral:rRNA from 1 species
CCUACGGGUGGCAGCAGUGGGAAAUAUUGCACAAUGGGCGCAAGCCUGAUGCAGCCAUGCCGCGUGUGUGAAGAAGGCCUUCGGGUUGUAAAGCACUUUCAGCGGGGAGGAAGGCGUUAAGGUUAAUAACCUUGGCGAUUGACGUUACCCGCAGAAGAAGCACCGGCUAACUCCGUGCCAGCAGCCGCGGUAAUACGGAGGGUGCAAGCGUUAAUCGGAAUUACUGGGCGUAAAGCGCACGCAGGCGGUCUGUCAAGUCGGAUGUGAAAUCCCCGGGCUCAACCUGGGAACUGCAUUCGAAACUGGCAGGCUAGAGUCUUGUAGAGGGGGGUAGAAUUCCAGGUGUAGCGGUGAAAUGCGUAGAGAUCUGGAGGAAUACCGGUGGCGAAGGCGGCCCCCUGGACAAAGACUGACGCUCAGGUGCGAAAGCGCGGGGAGCAAACAGGAUUAGAUACCCGGGUAGUC